GAACUGACGAUAGCUUUGAAGCAGAAAGAAUCAACUUUCAUUUGGCCAAAUCUCUACAUUUCUGAUGGAUUCUUGUGCGAGUCGUGGCUGUUUGGAGUCGACCUGCUGCAAUCAAGAGUCCACAAAGAAAAAAUAGUUUAUUGACAGUUUUUGAUUUAGAAGCUGAAGAUAAAAAGUGAGAAAAUCCAACGAUGAAAACAUAAAUUGGAUUUACUCAUCUGAUUUACUCUUUGAUUUAGCAUGAUUAUCACCGAUACUCAAAUUCUAAGUUUAAAACUGAACCAUUGAACUGGAUUGUGGGGAAGGGAAAUCGUUGCUUCCUAAUUGUUAUAAUCAAUCAAAUCAAAAAAUAGAUCUAAUCUCAAUGGGAUUUCCUGGUAAAAUAAAGGUUAAAUAAACUUUAUUUGUUUAAUACUUUUCCUACUGAUGUGACUCAAAGUUCUUUACAUAAAAACAUUUUCUAAUUUUAAAAACCAAAAGCCGGACAAAACACAAUUACACAAAAAUAUAUAUAUAAAACACAAUGCCCACAACCCCUCACAACAUAAAGCAUAACAUGAUUCACUAAUAAGAUGGGAAGAAGAAAUCUGGCCUUCCACUGAAGUGGGGAAACAAUAUAGCGAGGAUAGACUUACAUGAUAGAAAUCCCAAAUUUAUCGUCAUUGUGAUACCAGUCUGGAGGAAAUUAGGCCCUUAAUACUACCUUCACACCUGGCUUGGAAACACGACUUUUCCACCAAAUCAUAAUUUCCUGGAUCUUAACUCAAGUUAGAAUCAAAACCAGAGAUUAGAAGAGCUCAACUGAUGCUGGAAAAGUUCACAUAAGAGAAAAAAAAAAAAAAAAUGGUUCCAGAAACUGGAGAUGACGAAAAGUCGACUAAACGCUUCAUCAGUAGGUCAGUCCAAUGGAAAUGUUGGUUUUUACAUUACGGUCAAGAAAAAUUCUCAACAUUGCCUAAAGUUGAAAUCCAUCAAAUCAACAAUUCUGAAGAUCCAGCCCUCUUCUCAUUUUCUAACAGCAGAAAGAUGGAGCUCAGCUCUGCUCAGUUCAACAGAAGAGCGUCCAACCGCGCGUCAAUCUUUCUAAAGUUUGAUGGCCAACCAAAGUAAGUAGGUGGCGUGAAUCAGAAGUUCAGCACUGACAGGGAAUCAUCAUCCUUCCUUAUUAAUUUGGAGCAGCAGCAGAUUUCAGAGUUUCCAGCAGAGACCAGAUUCCACUCGAGGUGUUUGACUUUAAAAAGCUUGGACAAGUCUGAAGCAUCAUUCAAUUUCUGCCAGGAAGCCAGGAAAUUAGCCAGUCAGUCAAGCAGUCAAUCAGCUCGAAACAAGCAGAGAGCAAAAUCCACUGUGACGUUUUCUAUUCCAGUCCAUGUCAGCUUUAUUCAAACUUUAUGUAAUCUGGAUGUGAAAAUCAAUGCAGCACUCCUCGUUAAUGCCGUCCUCUCUUUGCUUUUUCUUCCUCUCCACUCGUCCGUAGCAUCUCUCAUCGUAAAGCUCCGUCUGCUGCCCUUGGAUGAUGGAUGGGCGGAUGGACGCUCGGUUGCCACGGCCUCGGACAGUCGGUAACAAACCCCGCUGACCCGUGACGGCGACACGGCGUCCGCUCACAUCACCGCUUUGGCUGACAACGCUCUGAGGAGAAGCAGAUGACCCAGAAGAUCUGGAUCCGUUGACACCAAAUCCUUGACUUUGACUGAAGGGACACCUAACCCGCCACCAGGACUCUUCAUGAAGGAGACACAUGCCUGACCUCUUCUGGUGAAGGAAAAAGAAUACCAAGCACUUUAGCAAACAAGACAGAAAUGGGCUCCAAUGAAAAGAUUGACAGUUUUUACUCCACUUAAUAGACUCACUGAAGAAACUAAUGAUAUGCUGUCAAACAUCUAGACGCAGCUUCUGAUAAAAGCUACGUCUGGGUCACGGGUUGGAGUUCUGUUUUUAUUCUAAC